rnacentral:lncRNA from 1 species
UUCCCUCGCAGACUUUACACUCUCUGUGCUAGCUGCGUAAGAGAAUACAGAAAUGGCGAGAUGGUGCCUUAUGCUGGUUGUGGUUCUUGUGGUUGUUCACACCACUACAGCUGCCAGACCCGAGCCCAAAGCAGCCGGUCUUGACGACCAAAAGAACUUUGUUGCAUUCGGUGGUGUUGGAGGCUUCGCUGGAGUAGGCGGAGGUCUUGGCACCGGUCUUGGGGGUGGACUCGGUGGGCUUGGUGGGCUUGGUGGUCUCGGUGGUGGUGGACUCGGUGGGCUCGGUGGACUCGGUGGUGGAUCUGGGUUAGGCGGAGGUGGAGGUUUGGGUGGUGGAGUUGGUGGUCUCGGGGGCGCUGGUGGCCUUGGCGGUGGAUGUGGAAGCUGUCCUUGAUCUCUUUUCGAGCUUUCUUUUGUUGUCAGUAUGAAUGUCGUUUUAGUUUAAUCAGUUGUGUUUGAGGAUGUGUUUCUUAAUUUUUACAAAUCAUAUGUUUGGGAGUGUCUACUACGUUUUGUACGUACAAUAGUUUUCUUUUUAAAGUCAGUAAUAAUUCAUUCUUCCGUUGUAUUAACGUUUCGUUGUGACGGAUUUUAGUCGUGAAUGCUACAACCGCUCCGUUUCUGAAAUACAAAUAAAAAUUAUGAGUAAUUGAGUUAUAUAUAAAAUAACCAAUUAGUGCAAUUUAUAAUCCAAAA